rnacentral:lncRNA from 1 species
AUAGGAUCCCGAGCUUCAAAUUCACCUUUAACUUAUCCGAUGAUCGAUUGUGAAUUUGUGAAGACCUUCAAAUUAUCCACACCAAGCUCUUUUACAAUCCUCAAACUGACUAACAAGACUUCAUAUUUGGCUUGAUUAUUCGAAGCUUUAAGUUGAACCGAAGGGCAUAUUCAUCACUGUCCCUUCGAUGUUGGUGAGUAUGAGGCCAGCUCCACUUUCUUGAGCAUUGGAUGGUCCAUCAACAUGCAACAUCCAAAC